rnacentral:rRNA from 1 species
GAUGAACGCUAGCGGCAGGCUUAAUACAUGCAAGUCGAACGGUAAGGUCUCUUCGGAGAUACACGAGUGGCGCACGGGUGAGGAACACGUACACAAUCUACCUUAUACUGGAGGACAGCCCCGGGAAACUGGGAUUAAUACUCCAUAGUCUUCUAAGAUCGCAUGGUCUAGGAAGUAAAGCUCCGGCGGUAUAAGAUGAGUGUGCGUCCCAUUAGAUAGUUGGUGAGGUAACGGCUCACAAAGUCAACGAUGGGUAGCUGGCGUGAGAGCGCGACCAGCCACACUGGCACUGAGACACGGGCCAG